rnacentral:sRNA from 1 species
UUGCGUAUCGUUUGCUCAAUGCAGUUGC